rnacentral:rRNA from 1 species
UACGGGGGAUGCAAGCGUUAUCCGGAUUUAUUGGGUUUAAAGGGUGCGUAGGCGGACAGUCAAGUCAGCGGUAAAAAUGCGGUGCUCAACGCCGUACAGCCGUUGAAACUGGCAGUCUUGAGUGGGCGAGAAGUAUGCGGAAUGCGUGGUGUAGCGGUGAAAUGCAUAGAUAUCACGCAGAACUCCGAUUGCGAAGGCAGCAUACCGGCGCCCUACUGACGCUGAGGCACGAAAGCGUGGGUAGUCGAACAGG